rnacentral:rRNA from 1 species
UGCGCAGGCGGCCGUGUGUGUUAGAUGUGAAAUCCCGGGGCUCAACCCCGGAACUGCGUCUAAAACUACAUGGCUAGAGUAUUGGAGAGGGUAGCGGAAUUCACGGUGUAGCAGUGAAAUGCGUAGAUAUCGUGAGGAACACCAGAGGCGAAGGCGGCUACCUGGACAAUUACUGACGCUCAGGCACGAAAGCGUGGGGGAGCAAAAG